CCUACGGGAGGCAGCAGUAGGGAAUCUUUCACAAUGGGCGAAAGCCUGAUGGAGCAACGCCGCGUGCAGGAUGAAGGCCUUCGGGUUGUAAACUGCUUUUAUAAGCGAGAAAUAUGAUGGUAACUUAUGAAUAAGGAUCGGCUAACUACGUGCCAGCAGCCGCGGUCAUACGUAGGAUCCGAGCAUUAUCCGGAGUGACUGGGUGUAAAGAGUUGCGUAGGUGGCAUAAUAAGUAGCUAGUGAAAUCUGGUGGCUCAACCAUUCAGACUAUUAGCUAAACUGUUAAGCUUGAGACCGUGAGGGGUAACUGGAAUUUCUAGUGUAGGAGUGAAAUCCGUAGAUAUUAGAAGGAACACCGAUAGCGAAGGCAGGUUGCUGGGACGGUUCUGACGCUAAGGCACGAAAGCGUAGGGAGCAAACGGGAUUAGAUACCCUAGUAGUC
rnacentral:rRNA from 1 species